rnacentral:rRNA from 1 species
GACGAACGCUGGCGGCGUGCCUAAUACAUGCAAGUCGAGCGGACCGAAUGGAAGCUUGCUUCUGUUCGGUUAGCGGCGGACGGGUGAGUAACACGUGGGUAACCUGCCCGUAAGACCGGGAUAACUCCGGGAAACCGGGGCUAAUACCGGAUAACACCGAAGACCGCAUGGUCUUUGGUUGAAAGGUGGCUUUUGCUACCACUUACGGAUGGGCCCGCGGCGCAUUAGCUAGUUGGUGAGGUAACGGCUCACCAAGGCGACGAUGCGUAGCCGGCCUGAGAGGGUGACCGGCCACACUGGGACUGAGACACGGCCCAGACUCCUACGGGAGGCAGCAGUAGGGAAUCUUCCGCAAUGGACGAAAGUCUGACGGAGCGACGCCGCGUGAGCGAAGAAGGUCUUCGGAUCGUAAAGCUCUGUUGUUAGGGAAGAAGAAGUACCGUUCGAAUAGGGCGGUACGGUGACGGUACCUAACGAGAAAGCCCCGGCUAACUACGUGCCAGCCGCCGCCGUAACAC